GUGACCUCAAAUCAGGUAGGACUACCCGCUGAACUUAAGCAUAUCAAUAAGCGGAGGAAAAGAAACUAACAAGGAUUCCCCUAGUAACUGCGAGUGAAGCGGGAAAAGCUCAAAUUUAAAAUCUGGCGGUCUUUUGGCUGUCCGAGUUGUAAUCUAGAGAAGUGUUAUCCGCGCUGGACGU
rnacentral:rRNA from 1 species